GUUCUGGAGUCGACCAAAAGAAAGGAAGAACAAGGAAAACCCUUGUUUUCAUAAAUCACCAAGAUUAGAAGGAGAAUCAAAGCCAAAACAUAUGCAUGAACCUUAAUCUCUAACCAUCUAAGCUUGUUCUUCAAAGUGUAUCGGGAUCAUGUCAAGAUGGAUGGACGCAUGGAAGGCUAAAAGGGUAAAAAGGAAGCAAUGAAACGGAUACUAAUGCGGACAUCUAAGGUUGCACGGUUUUAACAUCAUUAUGAAGUCUAAGAGGUUGAAGAUCGAGUCAAAGAGCGCAGAUUGUACGGGAGGAGUAGUGACAUAGCUUGUAUUUGUAUGAUGUUUUCGAUACAUCAAUUAAUAACGAAUGAUGUCCCUCUUUGAUAAGAGUCAUUUUAAAUGAUGUUCAAGAAUGUUACAGCAUUGUUGUGAAAUAAAUUUUUUGGUUCGUAUUUCCGCUA